UAAUUUUGAUAUCCAUUUUUCUAGCCGUCUCACUCCGAAUCUCAACGAAGACAUCAAUCUUUCAUCAUCGCGAACACUAAUCGCAUCAACAAUCAUCGAGCAUGAGCAUAAUCUGGUGUAAGUUAUUGAUUCUUGUUAUGAAUAUCUCAUCAACUUCUCAUUCGUCCACUAGUUGUCAGCGUUUGUUCUGUUCGUCGUUCAUUGGAUUUUGUGUUACAAGGGUUGAUUUUUGGUUUAUGUCAGACUGAUCUGAGGAGUCUUAGGUAUUAGGGUUUUGUUUCGAAACAUUCUACGCUAUCGUAGUCCAGUUAAGAUUUGUUGUUAAACAGACAUUUGCAAGCGUCGUCGAAGAACUUAUCGAAGCGAGGACUCACUUUCAAUCUAAAGAGUCAAAGAAAUCACAUAUGGAUAAUUUGGCGAGGAAUACAUUAUCAUCGAUGCAAAUAGCGAGGUUAGUAGCACACAACCAGUUGAGGUGAAUUCAUCGAAUACGCGUGCAUGCCUCACAGUGUCCCAAACUUCUUUCUUGGUUUUUGGUGGGUUUUUGCAGCAGAAAAAGCCUACUGCAAAGUGAGAAGUUGGGAGAGAUGCUCACUUUAUGUUUACACGGAUCUGGAGUGGCUGUGCGGAGGGGCAAUGUAGGCGGUUAGAGGUUAGGAUGAUCCGGUUUCACAGCCGUCGGUUGUGACUGGUGGUGUUUAUGGAGAAGACGGACUAGGGUUACACUUUGAACCCUCGACAGCGGCGAUGGUUUUUCAAGGUUACGCUCUGGAGAUAUCACCGUAUUCAACGAACACUUCGAGCCAACAAAAGUGGAAAGCUUAUAUAGUGAGUUCGUUGAUGGUGGUGAAGUGAAAUUCCGGCAAGACUUUUAGUCCAAUAGCACUGGAGAUAGGAUUUUCCAGUAACACUUUUAGUCAUUGAUUGGUCAUUUAUUUUAAACUAUUUAAAGAGGUUUGCUGGCUGUUAAGAUCCAAGUACAUCUCAAAACAACUUCGGUCACCUGUGGGAUCACCGGAGCAGUCAACAUGGACUCUAAUGGAUCAACGAGUGCCAAAACGGAUGGUCUGAGGUGAUUUUGCUUUAGCAGAGCAAUAUUGGCAGCUCCUAUGAUGGAAAUGUUUUGUGGAGGUAUGUUGAUUUGAUAUAUGAGACACGAAAGUACACCUCUUGCGCACAAAACUAUUUUAAUCAAGUUGUUAAGGCUUCCCAGGUAACUGGUAUAAUGAAUGCAGUCUAAAGUUCUCUCUUCUUUUCUGAGGCUUCCUUAUCUUCAACUAUCUGUUCUCUCUGGUAAUGAGUUCCUAUUAAUUUGCAUAAAUUCUAUGAACACAACCAAAAUGACUUUAUGUACAAAAUGGAGAAGCUUAAUGUUGGUUAUUCUUGAACCCACCGCCUCCGCUUCCCGGUGGGUUAUUUGGUAGUGAUGCUGACACGGUCUAACGACCACCAUUGCCUUGCAAAAAUGAGGUAAUCACUAUAACCGUUGGUAACCCUAACUUUUGUUUGGGUUCUGUAUGUCUUAUUUGGUCCCUCAGAGAUUUGAGUAUUGUUUCUGCCUUUCUGGUGGGUUUGGCCUUCGGUUGUGUUGCUUACGGUGGCAUUCGUGGUCCUUAUGGGUGACUGGUGGCAUCUUCUAUGACGUGCUCUGCCGCAUGUUGAGACUAUUAAACAGGCAUGUUGUUUUGAGUAUUUUACUUUUGAAAUUUGGGUAUCAUUUCAUCAGUAUUUGUCGCUCGGUUGCGAUAAGUUAAAAAUAAGCUAAUCUAAUCUAAAUCUAAAUAUAUUAAUAUCUGAUCGCUGGGAAUAGUAACUUAACGACGUUACUGUUUUGACGUUAAAGUUAACGACGUUUCUCUUCCUGCUCUAAAAUUCAUUGAGCCUUUGUAGUUAAAUUGGACAUAUACAUAGUGUUAGGCUGAUUAGCGUAUGGCCUGUUUGGACUUGGGACACUCACCUUCCUCCCAGGUAUUGUCUAUAAGGAUAAAAAUAGAAUUAAACAAAAUUUAAAAACAUAGUGGUAGGUUGAUUCAUUCUUGGUUUGUGAUGUCUCCUUUCCUAUUUGGUGUGAUAUUCGAGAUGGCUAUGUGAAAAGCCGAUUCGCCCUCACAAAGAAACCAGUUUGUAUAAAUGCAACUACAAUGGGAUGAUUGGUUAGGAUAAACAAUCUGAGCCAUUAACCUGCUGAUAAACUAAUUUGUUUGAACUAGACAGACAAAUAAUGUGGAUUUGGUGGUACUGAUGUUGGGGGCAUUCCUCAUCAGUCAUCAGAACCCUAAUUGCUUUGCCCUUCAUUUUACCAAGACGGAUUUACGAUAAGUUUUCGAAGUGUAAAAUUCAGCGAUUUUUCAUCUUGGCUUUGGUAUUGGAAAUCGAUCGGCUUGAUACAGGUGUGAUUUCAUAAUUUUGUGAUAUUUGUUUGAAUUAGUAUCAUGAAUGACGAUUGAUGAUUAUAUAGAUUACGUUUUUCUGUUUGAAUUAUGGUAUUUGCAGUUCUUUUGUUUAUUAAUUUUUUCUAUCAAAGUGAGAUCCAAUUCGUUUUCAGUUUUGUGUAUUAGGUGUUGAUCCUCAGAGAAAAGUUGAGCUAAUUGAGGCAAGUCCCAUUCUUCAUUAUAUCAUAUAUUGGGGACCCACAAUGUGGAACGCAUGUAUGGGCUCGACCUUAGACAACUUCAAACUCAAAAUGUUGUAUGUUAAACCUUAAAAGUUGAAGUGAUGAUCUUAUUACUUUUGCAAGUGAGUAUAUAAGAAAAUGGUAAGAAGAAACGUUUUCUCAAUCUAGACUUAUUUAGGGCAUCAGAUUGAACUUAUCUACAAAGUUUAAACAAUCCAUAUCUACAUUUUUUGCAGGCAUGAAUUUAAUUUGUAGCAUGUAUCCUGAUAGAAACCUUAUGAAUGGGUUGAAAAGACUGGUUCGGAGUGGGAUUUUAACUCCGAUAGAAGACAUUAGGAGACUUUUUUGAUUAGCUAAAAUGUAGUCUGUUGCUUAGAGUUACUGUCCUGUUGUACUUGCAUAGAUACAUUUAUGCUAAAUCUUUUUCAACGAUAUAUUGUGAUUGUUUUUACAUCAUGGUCAAUUGUGCGUCGCUUUAUCAAAGGCUCUCCUUAUCCAAGGUUUUUUCUAAGAUUUAAUCAAUCCGUUUUGGCUAAAAGACUUCGAAUACUUCAAAAAAAAGUAAUAAUGUCAUCGUAUUUGGCUAAAAGGGUCAGUUUUGGGGUUUUCACUUAAGUUGGGAUCUACUGGACCAUGGUCCAUUGAUUGACUUCCAGAGAUAAGUUUGGAACACACACAUUCACACACUCAUAAUGGUUGGUUCAAAUGAGAACAACAAAAGGGUUGAGAACUUCAAAAUAAUGUGUUAAUUUAUGUGAUUAAGUUGAAUCAUAUAUGAAUAUUGUUGUAGUGUUGGUUGAGUGGGACACCUUUCUCAGGGAGAAAUAUGUAAACUAAUCGGUUAGCCUAGAGUAAUUGUGGAGUGCUUUCUUGAUUUUUGAACACAAAGUGAAGUUUUGAAAUUCUUUGGUGAUGCAUAUAUACAUUGUUGUUUUGAUU